rnacentral:rRNA from 1 species
UACAGAGGUCUCAAGCGUUGUUCGGAUUCAUUGGGCGUAAAGGGUGCGUAGGCGGCGCGGUAAGUCGGGUGUGAAAUCUCGGAGCUUAACUCCGAAACUGCAUUCGAUACUGCCGUGCUUGAGGACUGGAGAGGAGACUGGAAUUUACGGUGUAGCGGUGAAAUGCGUAGAUAUCAAGUGGAACACCAGUGGCGAAGGCGGGUCUCUGGACAGUUCCUGACGCUGAGGCACGAAGGCCAGGGGAGCAAACGGG